UCGCUGAAGGAUCGGCCCGCGUCGGAUUAGCUAGUUGGUGAGGUAAAGGCUCACCAAGGCAAUGAUCCGUAGCUGGUCUGAGAGGACGAUCAGCCACACUGGGACUGAGACACGGCCCAG
rnacentral:rRNA from 1 species